rnacentral:rRNA from 1 species
GACGAACGCUGGCGGCGUGCUUAACACAUGCAAGUCGAACGGAAAGGCCCUGCUUUUGUGGGGUGCUCGAGUGGCGAACGGGUGAGUAACACGUGAGUAACCUGCCCUUGACUUUGGGAUAACUUCAGGAAAUUGGGGCUAAUACCGGAUAGGAGCUCCUGCUGCAUGGUGGGGGUUGGAAAGUUUCGGCGGUUGGGGAUGGACUCGCGGCUUAUCAGCUUGUUGGUGGGGUAGUGGCUUACCAAGGCUUUGACGGGUAGCCGGCCUGAGAGGGUGACCGGCCACAUUGGGACUGAGAUACGGCCCAGACUCCUACGGGAGGCAGCAGUGGGGAAUAUUGCACAAUGGGCGGAAGCCUGAUGCAGCAACGCCGCGUGCGGGAUGACGGCCUUCGGGUUGUAAACCGCUUUCGCCUGUGACGAAGCGUGAGUGGCGGUAAUGGGUAAAGAAGCACCGGCUAACUACGUG